rnacentral:rRNA from 1 species
UACGAAGGGGGCUAGCGUUGCUCGGAAUCACUGGGCGUAAAGCGCACGUAGGCGGAUUGUUAAGUCAGGGGUGAAAUCUUGGAGCUUAACUCCGAAACUGCAUUCGAUACUGCCGUGCUUGAGGACUGGAGAGGAGACUGGAAUUUACGGUGUAGCGGUGAAAUGCGUAGAUAUCGUAAGGAAGACCAGUGGCGAAGGCGGGUCUCUGGACAGUUCCUGACGCUGAGGCACGAAGGCCAGGGGAGCAAACGGG